GAUGAACGCUAGCUACAGGCUUAACACAUGCAAGUCGAGGGGUAACGAGAGGGAAGCUUGCUUUCCUUGUCGACGACCGGCGCACGGGUGAGUAACGCGUAUCCAACCUGCCCCCAACUAGGGAAUAACCUUGCGAAGGUAAGACUAAUACCCUAUAAUUUCCUCAGAUGUCAUCUGACGAGGAAUAAAGAUUUAUCGGUUGUGGAUGGGGAUGCGUCUGAUAGCUUGUUGGCGGGGUAACGGCCCACCAAGGCAACGAUCAGUAGGGGUUCUGAGAGGAAGGUCCCCCACAUUGGAACUGAGACACGGUCCAAACUCCUACGGGAGGCAGCAGUGAGGAAUAUUGGUCAAUGGGCGGAAGCCUGAACCAGCCAAGUAGCGUGCAGGAUGACGGCCCUAUGGGUUGUAAACUGCUUUUAUACAGGAAUAAAGUUAGCCACGUGUGGUUAUUUGUAGGUACUGUAUGAAUAAGGACCGGCUAAUUCCGUGCCAGCCGCCGCCGUAA
rnacentral:rRNA from 1 species